CAGCUGCUCUUCACAAAUUUGAAAUCAAUCACCGACGACUGCCGAUCACUACAUGGAUCCCAAUCCGAAUAGUCUUUUAAAUGUGACCAUAUUGCAAGCAUUAUGCACCAGGAUUUGUACAGACUUGUUAGACCCCGGUUGCAUGAUCCCGGUUAUUUUCCCGACCAAAGAGUUAUACUGUAUUUGAAUGUUGCGGGUUUUGGGGUUGCCGCGUACAUUCAAACAUCUGAGCUACGGGCCGAUUUAAUAACGGCAUUAGUUGAAAGAUGGAGCCCGGAGACACAUACAUUCCACCUCCCAUGUGGGGAGGUAACCAUUACGCUGCAAGACGUAGCAGUCCAACUAGGGCUGUCUAUUGAUGGAGAACCAGUGACCGAACUUGGAAAAUUACGCGAUCCGUGGGGCACUUGCGAGCGGUUACUUGGAAGGGUGCCCCCGAGCAGCGAAGAUGAACGUUUAACAUAUAUUAAAUUUAGUUGGUUGAAAGAAAACUUCGAGCAUCUUCCAAGCAGUCCAACGCAGAUGGACAUUAUGUACGCUGCAAGAGCGUUCAUUCUGCAACUUAUUGGUGGGAUACUUUUGCCUGAGGUAAAUCAAAAUAAAGUCUCGAUAAUGUAUCUCUCAUUGUUAAAGGAUCUCGAGCAUGCUGGAAGAUUUAGUUGGGGCUCGGCAGUGUUGGCAGCCUUAUACCGCGAGCUUUGUCGAGCGACAAAGCCGACUACGAAAACAAUGGGCGGUUGCUGCCUUCUACUACAGUCUUGGGCAUUAUACCGAAUGCCAUUUCUUGCAUCAGUGGGCCAUCAACCCUAUGUCUGGCCAUUUGUUAAUUGAUGGGCAACUGUACCGGGAAUUGGACGAUCCAAGCCACUAACUAUGUACCAUAUGAUGAUAGAGACUCAUUCCGGCGAUGGGUUUAUAUGGAUGCCAUAUACUCAAGAAGAUCUCGCGGCACUCAUACCGUCAUGGGUGGUCGAGCAGCAACACGUGUUCGUGGCUAAUGUGCCGUUGAUUAAUUUUCGUAUGGUGGAGUGGCACGAUGGAGGUCGGGUUUUGAGGCAAUUCGGUUGCGCACAGCCUAUCCCGAACCCUCCCGUUGACAUCUCAGAUGUCCACGGAAUGGAUAAAAAGGGACCGACUCGGGAGUCUUUAAAUUGGGCAGAGAAACAUGAACCAUAUAUCUUUCUGUGGAAUCAGCGACAUUUGAGGCGCCCUCCCUUGUAUGUCUUAGAGGGAGGGUUCUCUCCUACGCCCGAGUACGCAGCAUGAUGAGGAGGCUGGGAUUUUGCAGGCGCAGAAGGAACUUGAUUCUACGUUAGUGGAGUAUGAGUUUUGCUUGGUGGGAUAUUUUCUUAUUGCAAGUGUUACUCACUUCCAGCAAUGAGAAGUAUGAUGGCGAAUCUAUGACAUCUUGUUAAAGGGGUCUAGAUAUCAGAUACGGGGAAAAGAGGUUCCUAUUUUGAUUUCAUAUCGGGUUAUUAAUGGGGCUCCAAGAACUUUCAAUAAUCAUCUAAUGAUUCAUCGUUUGGAGGCCGGGGACGAUCUGUUUAAGGUUCCGUUAAUUUAUACGAUUUUUUGGGUUCAAGUGCAUGAUGUCCUGCUGGGGUUUUUCAACGAGUCGUUAGCAAAACAAAUUGGUGAUUUCCUUGGAAGUUUUCUACAAUAUGAUAGCAAGAAUGUGGGAAGGGGCAUAUGUGCUUAUUUACGCAUAAGGGUUCAACUGGAUAUUAGGAGUUCCCUAAAAAGGAAAAACAAGGUGAUGUUUCGUUUGGAAAGUGUACUUAUGUCAAUUUUAAGUAUGAGUGGCUGUAAACUCUAAUUUAUAUAGGUUUUUUUAAUAGUUUAUGUCACCUUUUUACUUAAAAAUAAUAUUAAACCCGAGUAUUUGUUUACUAAUUAGGCAAAUUUUAUUUAUAUUUCAAUAACGAGCAUGAUUUAAUGAAGAAUG